GGUCGUGGCUCAAGGUUUAGAGCGCUCGCCUGGCAGGCGUGAGGCCCUGGGUUCGAUCCUCUGCACCA
rnacentral:tRNA from 1 species